rnacentral:rRNA from 1 species
GAUGAACGCUGGCGGCGUGCCUAAUACAUGCAAGUCGAGCGAACAGACGAGGAGCUUGCUCCUCUGACGUUAGCGGCGGACGGGUGAGUAACACGUGGAUAACCUACCUAUAAGACUGGGAUAACUUCGGGAAACCGGAGCUAAUACCGGAUAAUAUAUUGAACCGCAUGGUUCAAUAGUGAAAGACGGUUUUGCUGUCACUUAUAGAUGGAUCCGCGCCGCAUUAGCUAGUUGGUAAGGUAACGGCUUACCAAGGCGACGAUGCGUAGCCGACCUGAGAGGGUGAGCGGCCACACUGGAACUGAGACACGGUCCAGACUCCGACGGGAGGCAGCAGUAGGGAAUCUUCCGCAAUGGGCGAAAGCCUGACGGAGCAACGCCGCGUGAGUGAUGAAGGUCUUCGGAUCGUAAAACUCUGUUAUUAGGGAAGAACAAAUGUGUAAGUAACUAUGCACGUCUUGACGGUACCUAAUCAGAAAGCCACGGCUAACUACGUG